rnacentral:lncRNA from 1 species
AAAUACAUAUUACAAAACAGAUUCUAACAAAAAUUAAUUAACAAUUAAUUUUCCUUGAGCUCUCUUGCUCUUUGUGCACCUAUGCACCCUUCAAGUACCUUUGCUUCCUUGAACCUGUUUGUAAACUACUUUUCUAAUCCACCAGGAUUAAAACCUUUAGACUACACUUAGUCUAACAAUAGAAAAAUCGAUACAAUAUAGAGGUCUAUGCUCAAUGCAAGAAUAAUCAAUUUAACAAUUAAAGGCUCAACUAUAUGCAAUGAUCAAGUAGCACAAAAUAAGCAAUUAAUUUCUUACCGAAUAUCAGCUAAUAAAUAUCAGAAAAUUAAACACUUAGCUGAUCACACGUUGCACUGGAUGAAUGUAUAUUGCUCAAAAAUAUCAGUAUAUGUGCAAGAGUAAAUUCGUGAGUUCUGUGUUUUUUCCAAACAAGAGAAUACUGUAUUUAUAGCUCAUAUUAUAUUACCGUUAAUAGAUAUGUAUAAUUAGUCCCAGUUAAACGGUAUAGUCAAAAAUAUGAACGUUCACUUCGAUAUUUAUCUAAGUAACCAAAUCAAACUUCUUUAGUGUUUGAGAUAGAUAAAACUUUGACUCCUUCUUUCCGUAUAAAAAGGUGGCAGUAACUUACUAACUCAUAUGACAUCAAUCUCUUUUCAAAACAAUCUUUAGAGUCCCAAUUUCAUUUACUCCUUGAAACACUCAAAUAUCAAAUCAGUAGCUACCGUCAUUUAAAUUUCCUAGGAGAUCAUGAUUAUAUGCAGGCUUAUCACAAUUAAUAUCAUUCACCUCUUUAGCAAACUAGAUUCACUAAUAUAUAUCCACGUGUAUUGUACUCCAAGUAUGUGAAUUUAAUUUGCAUGCUAAAACAUUUUUCAUUUUAAAAUCAUUUUUCAUUUAAGACAUAAAAAGAUAUAAUGCAAUAAUAUGUCCUAGAGCCUUUAAAUGAAAAAUCAAUUACUAUGCAAUUGACCUUACAUUGAUUUUUCCUAGAAAAUAGAAACUCCUUCAAUUUCUUGAAUAUCCCAUCAAAGCUCUUUAUCACCAAAAUACCUGAAAUACCAUAAAAUAAUUUAGUACAUGAACAUUUCAUCAUCAAAACAUAAGGCUAGAAUAUGACUAAGUCAACAUUCUUCCCCUUUUUGAUGAUGACAACCCAAAAUUGUUUUAACUCAAAAACUCCCCUUAAAUAUAUGCAUAACACAAUUAACUCCCCCUAAAUCCAUGCAAUAUCAUUUCAGGAUACUGAAAUACGAUUUUCAAUAAAGUUACAAAAUCCUGAAAUGUGUAAACAUUUCAAAACAAUCCUGUUACCUGCAGUAAGUGUUAGUUCAUCAAAUAUCAAAAUAUUUACUGCAAAUAUAUCAAAAAUUUUAAAAUCCCAAUUUAAACAUAAGUCUUUUUGGUGAUGCACAGCAAAACAAAACAUAGAAUUUUUAAAAUUUGUCUAGAAGCAAUCAAAACAACUUAAAACAGCUCAAAAACUCUCCCCCUUUGUCAGCAAUCAAAAAGGACAGUCAUUCGUCGAGCUCUACCACGGCUGCACGUUGGGCUUCACGCUGAGUGAAGUAGGGGCGAUGGUUUGCACGAUGGACCUUCUCAGCAAUACUCAAAUCCGUAGCAAACUGUGGAGGCCUGGGAAUGACAGUGGCAGGGGGAAGAGGAACAUCUAAAAAUUUUCCUUGAUACUCAGCCAGCCAAUUGCAAUGCACCCACUCCGGGACAGUCGAAUGUUUACGCUGCAUAUGCAAUUUAGAUCCCAUAUCAUUGAAACGAACAGAAAUAAACUCGGCCAACUCCCCUAUUUGAUUACUAAUAAACUUCAUUUCUUGACUCAGCUAACACGAAUUGCGAUUAAGACGUCGUUGCAUUAACUCAGCCAAGGCAGUUGUUUGCACCUCAAAACCAGCUUGCAAAUCAAUAAACUCAUCUUCAAUGUUAUGAUAGAGUUUAUUGAUUUCAGGUGCACCCAAAGGCAACUUACCUUUUUUCAACACAGACAUUCUAUUAUGAAGGCAGUCAUUUCAAGUUGCAUUUUUUCUUGAUUAACAAGAAUUACUUUCAACAUUUUCAUGAUUUCAGGAGAGGAUUGAGUAAUGGGCUGAACAGGAGAAGAUGGAAUAGAUACUGGAGGAACACGAGUUUCAGAAGGGAUUCUAACAAAUAAACCAUCAAGUAAAUUGAUAUGUGACAUUUUCAGGGAACUGACGCUAAUAGAAUCAGUAACUGAAACAAAAUUUUCAUUGUCAAAAGAAAUUGUAAAAUGUUUAAACAGAGUAGUGAGAGUAGCACUAUAAGGCAAACAAGUCUUUGAUUUUCGCAAACAAGCAGUCAUGUGAUGAAGCAUGAGUUGAGAUAAAUUGAAAGACACACCACGUAAAAUUAGAGCAACAAUAAUCAGAUCCUGAUAAGUAAAAUCUGCUCCUCCACCUAACCAAGGCAACAGAUUAUACCUAACAAUAUGAUGAAGGACACAUGAAAUUGGAGAAACAUCCACAGUUUUAGGAGUGAAAACAUCAGUUAACCGAUUAUUGUUCAUCACAAUUUGAAGUUGUUCCAAUGGAGUAAAUGGAAAAUGAACAGCUCCUUUCUUUGUGAAAGGACAGACACCAGAAGAAGAAACAUUUAAAAUGCUACCAAAAUCCAUAACAGAAAAAUAAAGAGAUUUGCCUUUGACAAAUGUUGUAUAAGAAUCACCAUGGCAUUCUAGAUUCGUAUAAAACUGUUGAACAAGACUAGGAUAUGCCACAGAGGGAGGAAAAAGCAUAGAUGAUAUACCACAAGAUUCAAAUAACAGUUUGAGAGGGGAUUGCUGAAAAUAGAUCUGAUCAACAAAUUUUUUGUAGACAAAUUGUUUAGGAAAAAUGACUGUUUUAAAUCGUACCUCAUACGCAUUACUGCGAAAGUAGUUGUCAGGCAGAUCAGAGGAUAGAUUAGGGUUUACCAAAAUUGAAGGAGGGGUAACUUCUGGCUUGAAAGACUGACGCUGCCGAGAGGGUCCAGUAGAUUUAGGCAAAGACAGACUGAACAUGGACUCAUCAGAAGAUGAAGAGUCCACAUACUCUGUUUCCUCAGACACGACUUUCUUCAUUUUACGCUGCCGGCGUGAAGGUCCGGCUAUCGAUGGAGGUGGAAACUGCGCCUGAUCGUCGUCAGAAUCGAUCAAUGAUCUCUUAUGCGUAGGAGUCCUCAUGAUACCAAAGUAAAGUUAGAGAGUGAAAGAUAAGAAUAAUAAAGAGAAAAUGAGACAGAGGAGUUUUAGGAAAAUGAAAGGAAAGUAGAUAGAAAGAUAUAGAAGAAACUCUCCUGAACACUUACGUCUUCCGAGACUCCCCAUCUAACUUGGCGUGUCGAUUUUCAAAAAUCAUAAUGAAAUAUGCAUGUACGCACACGGCUCCCUAGAAACCCUUCUGUCAUCCGGUCUUUUCAAUUUCCAAAAAUAAUGAUGAGAUAUAUUUACGUAGCUCAAGAAACACCCCAGUCGACCGGUCUUUUUGGUUUCAAACGCUAAUCAUGAUAUAAUCCUUGAUUCUCGCGUCCAUAAAUUAAGCGAUUUAAAUUAUCAAUGGAAAAACAUAAUUAUCCUAAUUAACAGAUAAUAUGAUAUUCAUGCAAUACUAGGAUAAUAUUAAUACAAAAAAAAUCAUGCAGUACACAUCCCAAGUUCUCUACGUAACAUGCAAAAUCUAUCUUCACUCAAAGGUUUAGUAAAAAUGUCUGCAAUUUGAUUUUCUGUAGGAAUGAAAAUUAAUUUAAUUAACCCUUUUGAAACAUUGUCUCUUAAAAAAUGAUGCCUAACUUCUAUAUGCUUUGUACGUGAGUGUAACACAGGAUUUUUAGAUAUAUCUAUAGCACUAGAGUUAUCACAAUAAAUAGGCACACAAUCACAUAAUAUGUCAAAAUCACAUAGAGUUUGUCUCAUCCAUAAAAUUUGUGAACAGCAACUUCCUACAGCUAGGUAUUCACCCUCAGUAGUUGAAAGAGCCACUGAGGUUUGCUUUUUACUAUGCCAUGACAUGAGACUUUAUCCCAAGAAAGUACAAGCACCACUCGUACUCUUUCUAUCAAUUUGACACCCUGCAUAGUCAGCAUCUGAAUAGCCAAUUAUUUCAAAAUGAUUGGAAAUUGGAUAAAAGAACCCUAAAUUUAUUGUACCACUUAAAAAUUUCAAUAUCCUUUUAACAACAUUUAAGUGUGAUUCUUUUGGUUUAGCUUGAAACCUUGCACAUAGACAAACACUAUAUAUUAUAUCGGGUAUAGAAGCAGUUAAAUAUGGUAAACAUCCAAUCAUUCCUCAAUAUUUUGUUAUGUCUACACCAAUACCUUUCUCGUCAGUGGUGAGUUUUAUUGAUGUGCUCAUUGGUGUACCUUUCGAGUUAGAUCCUUCAAAGCCAAAUAUCUUGAGUAGUUCUUUUGUGUAUUUGGUUUGAUGGAUGUAAAUUCCGUCCUUUGUUUGCUUGAUUUGAAGUCCCAAAAAGUAGUUGAGUUCACCCAUUAAGCUCAUAUCAAAUUCUUUAUGCAUGCACUUGGAAAACCACUCACACAGGAAAUCAUUAGUAGCACCAAAUAUUAUAUCAUCUACAUAUAUUUGAACAAUAAUAAUAUCAACAUUUUUAUGCUUAAUAAACAAUGCAGAAUCUAUCUUACCUCUAACAAACCCAUUUGAUAAGAGAUACUUACUCAAUCUUUCGUACCAAGCCCUUGGAGCUUGUUUCAAGCCAUAAAGAGCUUUCUUUAGCUUGUACACAUGAUUAGGAUACUUUUCGUGUUCGAAUCCAGGAGGUUGUUUGACGUAUACUUCUUCAUUGAUGUAUCCAUUAAGGAACGCGAUUUUUACAUCCAUUUGAUGAAGCUUGAACUUUUUGUAGCAAGCAAAAGCUAACAGAAUUCUAAUUGAUUCCAGCCUUGCUACAGGUGCAUAAGUUUCUUCAUAGUCGAUCCCCUCCUGUUGAUUGUAUCCUUGAGCUACCAAUCUAGCUUUGUUACGAAUUAUUGUGCCAUGCUCAUCAAGUUUGUUCUUGAAAACCCAUUUUGUACCAAUGAUGAAAACAUCUUUUGGAGGAGACAUAAGUUCCCACACUUGGCACCUCUCAAAUUGUUGAAGUUCUUCUUGUAUUGCCAAUAGCCAAUUCUCAUCAAUUAUAGCAUCCUUUGCAUUCUUUGGUUCAACCUACGACAAAAAUGUAGAGAAUGCACAGUGAUUUUGUAAACCUCUCCGUGUGGUUAUACCUUUAUUGAUAUCUCCAAUAAUAUUUUCUGGAGGAUGAUUCUUGAUGUAUCUAGCUGUUCUUGGCAUUUGGAUAUUAUGCAUAACUUCCUCUUGAUCAUUAGACUCAUUUUCAGCAUCAUGCAAAUCUUCAAGUUCAUGUUCAUGCUGAUCAUUCAUUUUAGGUUGCUGAAUUUGUUCAUUCGGUCUCCUGUUUUCUUCAUUUCGGUUUGCUGAAAUGUUGACUAUCUCCAAAUUACCUGCAUCAUCUUCACUUUCUUUUGGAAGAUCAUUGUUAGUCUCAUUGAAAGUAAUAUGAACAGAUUCUUCUACAUAUGACUUUUUAAUAUUGAAGAUGCGAUAAGCCUUACUAUUUUGAGAAUAACCAAUAAAUAUUCCUUCAUAUGACUUAGCAUCAAAGUUUCCCAAAUUGUCACUUGUAUUUAAAAUGAAGCAUUUAGAACCAAAUAUUUUGAAAUAACCUAUGUUGGGAAUUUUAUUAUUUAAAAGCUCAUUUGGUGUUUUCAAAAUAAUAGGACGAAUGAGUACUCUAUUUAAAAUAUAACACAAUGUACUUACAGCUUCGGCCCAAAAUUUCUUUGGAAGCUUACUUUCUUGUAAUAGAGUUCUAGCUGUCUCAUGUAGAGUCCUAUUCUUCCUUUCCACCACUCCGUUUUGUUGAGGAGUCCUUGGUGCUAAGAAUUCAUGGCUAAUACCUCUUUGAUCACAAAAUGUUAUAAAAUCUUUUUGAAAUUCAGUGCCAUGAUCACUUCUAAUUCUAAUGAGUUUGAAACUAUAUUUUGUUUCAAUUUUUCUUAUUAAUAUUUCAAACUCUUUAAAUGCUUCAUCCUUAGUUCUCAAGAAUAAUACCCAUGUGUAUCUAGAGAAGCCAUCUACUAUUACAAAAGCAUAUUAUACUAGAAUAUCUUUAUGGUCCAAAUAGAUCAAGAUGAAGUAGUUGUAAGGGAGAAGAAGUUGAUACCAUGUUCUUUACCGUAAAUGAUGUUCUUACUUGUUUUCCGAGUUGACAUGGAACACAAAUUUCCUUCUUUUCAUAUUUGAUUUUCGGCAACCCUUUGACAAGAUUCUUUGAGGAUAAUUUCUUGAUUAAGUCCAUGUGAACAUGUCCCAUCCUCUUGUGCCACAAGUUAGCCUCAUCUUGUAUAGAUGCUAAACAUAAUUCUUCAUCCUGUUGCUCAAAGUCAAUGAUAUAUAUAUAUUUCCUUCUCUUUGUGCAACUAAAGUGAUAUUGUUAGUACCAUGAGAAAUAGUGCAUUUUUCUUUAUCAAAACUAACUUGAUGACCAUUAUCCAUUAAUUGACUGAUACUAAUAAGAUUAAAUUCAAGUCCAUUAACAAGAUGUACAUUAUUUAUACUUACCUUGCCAUUUCCAAUUUUACAUUUUCCGAUGAUUUCGCAAGUUCGAUUAUCUCCAAACGUGACCGUUCCAUUCUUUUUCUUGAUGUCUAGUUCCAUGAACUUUGAUUUAUCACCUGUCAUGUGACGAGAACAUCCGCUAUCAAGAAUCCAUUUUUGAGAUGGAACUCUUGCCUUUAAACAUUCCUGUCAAGAAAAGAUAUUUCAUCCUUUUGGUACCCAUAUCUUUUUGGGUCCAUUUAUGUUAGUAGCAAGUAAAUCACUCUUUUUAAUCCAUACCUUUUUAAUCUUAUUUCGUUUCUUAAAGCAAUUUAUAUCUAAAUGACCCUUAAUACCACAAUGUUUACAAGUUGUGAAAGGAGAACAAUAAUUUAAACUAAACCGUGAUUUUGAUUUUAACAUUUUCAUAUUACUCUUUUUAUGCAUAGAAUUAAAACCAAUUCCUUGUCUUUCAAAACUAGGUCUUUGUUUACCUAAUAUGACAUUUAGAUUUUCUUCACCUUGAACGAAUUUAGCAAGAGAUGUUUUUAGUGAGUCUAUUUCUUUUUGAAGUUCAUUAUUAGGAAACGUUUUAUCACUAAAUGCAUCAAUACACACAUCUCUCAUUUUUAGCUCAUUAGUCAAUUUUUGGACUUCAUUAUUUAAGACUUUUACCUUAUUAAAAAGUAUUUUAUUAAAAUUGUCUAAAUAAUCAAUUUUUGCAAUCAAAACCUUUUCUUCUUGACAUGUGGAUUCCUUUUCAAUUUCUUUCUUUUCAUCUAUCAGUGAAUCUACUUCAUCCAUUAAUGUAUUAACUAAUCCUUUUAAGCUUGCAUUCUUUUCUCUUAACUUUUUAUUUUCUUGUUCUAAAGAAUUUAGUUCAUUAGGAGAUACCUGAUUCGAUUCACCUUCAAUUCCUACAAAACAUACUUGUGCUAUCUCAUCUUUAGCAUCGAUCUCCACUUCAGAUUCUUCAUCACUCCAAGUAAUAAAGGCUUUGUUCUUCUUGUUGUCUUUGUAGUUGGUCUUCCCUUUAUUCUUUAGUUGAAAACAAUCUUUCUUGAAGUGGCCAGGACGUCCACAUUCGAAGCACGUCUCUUCAUUUUGCUUUCCUUUGAAUUUAUUUGAAUUGAAGGUAUUUCUCCUCUUGUUUUUCCUUUGUAGUAACCCCUUGAGUUUCCUUGACAUCAUUGCUAUUUCUUCAUCGGAGUUAUCAUCAAGUUCCUCUUCAUUAUCUGCAGUAAGAGCUAAGACCUUUCUUCAAGGAGUUUCUUCCUCAUCAUCAUAUCUCUUUAAUUGAUGUUCAUAUUCUUCUAGUUCACCUAAGCAACUUACGGUUGAUCUCACUUUGAGGAAUAGUCUUGUCUAGCAAUUUCAAGGAGUUUAUAAAGACUAGAAAUCUUGCUUGAGCUAGCUUGAUGGUUUCAUCUUUUUCGAGCUUGAACAUUUCAUAAUCGUGCAUAAGCAUGCUUAGCUUGACUUCUCGUACUUUUGAAGUACUUUCAUGACUUACCACUAAAGUAUCCCACAUUUCUUUGGCAAUGUUGCAUGAGGAGACUUUAUCUAUCUCGGAUUGUACCAUGCCGUUGAGAAGUGUGUUCAUAGCCUUUGAAUCAUAUGAGACCAUGUAGAUUUCGGUGGAAUCCAUUUCUAGUAGAAUCUUUGGUGUCCCAUCAUCUCUUCGUGGAACAACUGGUCCGUUCUCCACAACCCACCAUUCCCAAGGAUCUCUUUUAAGAUAGAUCCUCAUUCGGAAUUUCCAGAAGUUGUAAUUUUCUGUGCCAAACAGCAAAGGAGGUCUAUUGGUUGAUUGACCUUCUUGAUUGUUGUUUCCGAACUGUGCCAUGUUAGAAUCUUUCCCUACAAGUCACCUUUAAGACCAAGAUAAGUAGAGCCAAGCUUUGAUACCAAAUGAAAUUUAACUAGGCACACUUAGAAGGGGGGUUGAAUAAGUGUAGGAGCAAUCUAUGGCCAACUUUUAAAAACUAUUAAUUUCAGGCUACUAAAAUGAUUGAAAUCAGUUUACAGAAUUAAUAUAACCUUUUGAAUAAAAUACUUGAUGUUAAAGAAUUAUCUAAAUAUAAUGCAAGUAGUCAAAUUAAGAUAAUUAAUUAACUUAUGUGAUUUUAAAGUAAAGCAAAUAAUAAAAUCAACACCAAGAUUUUUUUACGUGGUUCAGCUAUUACCCUCUCUAAUAAUAGCCUAGUCCACGUCCAAUACCAACUUGUAUUGGAGACUCACUUUAUUUAUUUCUUUAUAAAUAAAUACAGAUUACAAUACAGAUUCUAACAAAAAUUAAUUAACAAUUAAUUUUCCUUGAGCUCUCUUGCUCCUUGUGCACCUAUGCACCCUUCAAGCACCUUUGCUUCCUUGAACCUGUUUGUAAACUACUUUUCUAAUCCACCAGGAUUAAAACCUUUAGACUACACUUAGUCUAACAAUAGAAAAAUCAAUACAAUAUAGAGGUCUAUGAUCAAUGCAAGAAUAAUCAAU